GGAAAGGCUCCUUGCUUGCAAGGGGUACUCGAGUGGCGAACGGGUGAGUAACACGUGGGUGAUCUGCCUUGCACUUCGGGAUAAGCCUGGGAAACUGGGUCUAAUACCGGAUAGGACCAUGCUUUAGUGUGUGUGGUGGAAAGUUUUUUCGGUGCAAGAUGAGCCCGCGGCCUAUCAGCUUGUUGGUGGGGUAAUGGCCUACCAAGGCGACGACGGGUAGCCGGCCUGAGAGGGUGUACGGCCACAUUGGGACUGAGACACGGCCCAGACUCCUACGGGAGGCAGCAGUGGGGAAUAUUGCACAAUGGGCGCAAGCCUGAUGCAGCGACGCCGCGUGGGGGAUGACGGCCUUCGGGUUGUAAACUCCUUUCGCUAGGGAAGAAGCCACUGUGUGGUGACGGUACCUGGAUAAGAAGCACCGGCUAACUACGUGCCAGCAGCCGCGGUAAUACGUAGGGUGCGAGCGUUGUCCGGAAUUACUGGGCGUAAAGAGCUCGUAGGUGGUUUGUCGCGUCGUCUGUGAAAUCCCGGGGCUUAACUUCGGGCGUGCAGGCGAUGCGGGCAUAACUAGAGUGCUGUAGGGGAGACUGGAAUUCCUGGUGUAGCGGUGAAAUGCGCAGAUAUCAGGAGGAACACCGAUGGCGAAGGCAGGUCUCUGGGCAGUUACUGACGCUGAGGAGCGAAAGCAUGGGUAGCGAACAGGAUUAGAUACCCUGGUAGUCCAUGCCGUAAACGGUGGGCGCUAGGUGUGGGGGUUUUAUUUACGAUUCCCGUGCCGUAGCUAACGCAUUAAGCGCCCCGCCUGGGGAGUACGCCGCAGGCUA
rnacentral:rRNA from 1 species